UCCAGACGGACCAUCCCUCCCCGACCCAAGCUCAUCUCUGGCCCCUCCUCGCAGGCUCCCCAGACUGCUUCCUGGGGUCCCCAAGGCUCCCUGACCUUACCCGGCCACCCCUCAGGGUGCUACCGCUCUCCCAAGAGUCCAGAGAGCCAAGGGGUGCGCAUGCUGCGGCCAGAAGGGGGGGCAGGCCCACCACAGCAGCCAGGCCUCCUGAGCACCUCAUGCCCAGAGAAAAGCAGGCUGGUUGCACAAUUACAUGUCAAACAGUGAUGCAUGAAGGCUGCUUGUAAAAUCUGAGCCCUGUAUCCUCCGUGUGGGGACGGCCUCCCAGGCCCGCCAGCAGACCCGAUCCGGAAGGACAGGACUUGACGGCAGCGUGAGAAACUCCACGCAGUGAAGCUCAGACCGGAGACGGUCCUCAGCACGGGACGCGGGCAGGAAGGGCGGGCGCCUCUAGCAGCAGACCCCGAAGCCCGAACG